GGAGUUAGCCGGUGCUUCUUCUGCGAGUAACGUCACAGAUGUAAGGUAUUAACUUACACCCUUUCCUCCUCGCUGAAAGUGCUUUACAACCCGAAGGCCUUCUUCACACACGCGGCAUGGCUGCAUCAGGGUUUCCCCCAUUGUGCAAUAUUCCCCACUGCUGCCUCCCGUAGGAGUCUGGGCCGUGUCUCAGUCCCAGUGUGGCUGAUCAUCCUCUCAGACCAGCUAGGGAUCGUCGCCUAGGUGAGCCUUUACCUCACCUACUAGCUAAUCCCACCUGGGCUUAUCCAUCAGCGCAAGGCCCGAAGGUCCCCUGCUUUCCCCCGUAGGGCGUAUGCGGUAUUAGCAGUCGUUUCCAACUGUUAUCCCCCACAAAUGGGCAAAUUCACAGGCAUUACUCACCCGUCCGCCGCUCGUCAUCUUCAAAAGCAAGCUUUUGAAAUGUUACCGCUCGACUUGCAUGUGUUAGGCCUGCCGCCAGCGUUCAAUCUGAGCCAUGAUCAAACUCUGA
rnacentral:rRNA from 1 species